CGAUCCCUAGCUGGUCUGAGAGGAUGACCAGCCACACUGGAACUGAGACACGGUCCAGACUCCUACGGGAGGCAGCAGUGGGGAAUAUUGCACAAUGGGCGCAAGCCUGAUGCAGCCAUGCCGCGUGUAUGAAGAAGGCCUUCGGGUUGUAAAGUACUUUCAGCGGGGAGGAAGGGAGUAAAGUUAAUACCUUUGCUCAUUGACGUUACCCGCAGAAGAAGCACCGGCUAACUCCGUGCCAGCAGCCGCGGUAAUACGGAGGGUGCAAGCGUUAAUCGGAAUUACUGGGCGUAAAGCGCACGCAGGCGGUUUGUUAAGUCAGAUGUGAAAUCCCCGGGCUCAACCUGGGAACUGCAUCUGAUACUGGCAAGCUUGAGUCUCGUAGAGGGGGGUAGAAUUCCAGGUGUAGCGGUGAAAUGCGUAGAGAUCUGGAGGAAUACCGGUGGCGAAGGCGGCCCCCUGGACGAAGACUGACGCUCAGGUGCGAAAGCGUGGGGAGCAAACAGGAUUAGAUACCCUGGUAGUCCACGCCGUAAACGAUGUCGACUUGGAGGUUGUGCCCUUGAGGCGUGGCUUCCGGAGCUAACGCGUUAAGUCGACCGCCUGGGGAGUACGGCCGCAAGGUUAAAACUCAAAUGAAUUGACGGGGGCCCGCACAAGCGGUGGAGCAUGUGGUUUAAUUCGAUGCAACGCGAAGAACCUUACCUGGUCUUGACAUCCACGGAAGUUUUCAGAGAUGAGAAUGUGCCUUCGGGAACCGUGAGACAGGUGCUGCAUGGCUGUCGUCAGCUCGUGUUGUGAAAUGUUGGGUUAAGUCCCGCAACGAGCGCAACCCUUAUCCUUUGUUGCCAGCGGUCCGGCCGGGAACUCAAAGGAGACUGCCAGUGAUAAACUGGAGGAAGGUGGGGACGACGUCAAGUCAUCAUGGCCCUUACGACCAGGGCUACACACGUGCUACAAUGGCGCAUACAAAGAGAAGCGACCUCGCGAGAGCAAGCGGACCUCAUAAAGUGCGUCGUAGUCCGGAUUGGAGUCUGCAACUCGACUCCAUGAAGUCGGAAUCGCUAGUAAUCGUGGAUCAGAAUGCCACGGUGAAUACGUUCCCGGGCCUUGUACACACCGCCCGUCACACCAUGGGAGUGGGUUGCAAAAGAAGUAGGUAGCUUAACCUUCGGGAGGGCGCUUACCACUUUGUGAUUCAUGACUGGGGUGAAGUCGUAACAAGGUAACCGUAGGGGAACCUGCGGUUGGAUCACCUCCUUA
rnacentral:rRNA from 1 species